rnacentral:rRNA from 1 species
UUAGGGCAGCCGACAGCGAGCGUACCGGGCUCAGGAUGGAUGCCGGCAUCUAGCUCCUUGAUUCAGCGGCGGACGGGUGAGUAAUGCCUAGGAAUCUGCCUGGUAGUGGGGGACAACGUUUCGAAAGGAACGCUAAUACCGCAUACGUCCUACGGGAGAAAGCAGGGGACCUUCGGGCCUUGCGCUAUCAGAUGAGCCUAGGUCGGAUUAGCUAGUUGGUGGGGUAAUGGCUCACCAAGGCGACGAUCCGUAACUGGUCUGAGAGGAUGAUCAGUCACACUGGAACUGAGACACGGUCCAGACUCCUACGGGAGGCAGCAGUGGGGAAUAUUGGACAAUGGGCGAAAGCCUGAUCCAGCCAUGCCGCGUGUGUGAAGAAGGUCUUCGGAUUGUAAAGCACUUUAAGUUGGGAGGAAGGGCAGUAAGCUAAUACCUUGCUGUUUUGACGUUACCGACAGAAUAAGCACCGGCUAACUCUGUGCCAGCAGCCGCGGUAAUACAGAGGGUGCAUAGCGUUAAGUCGGAAUUACUGGGCGUAAAGCGCGCGUUAGGUGGUUUGUUAAGUUGCGAUGUGAAAGCCCCGGUGCUCAACCUGGAGAACUGCAUCCAAAACUGGCAAGCUAGAGUACGGUAGAGGGCUGGUGGAAUUUCCUCCGUACCGGUGAAAUGCGUAGAUAUAGGAAGGAACACCAGGGGCGAAGGCGACCACCUGCACGGAUACUGACACUGAGGUGCUAAAGUCUGUGGAGCCAACAGGAUUAUAUACCCGGGUAGUCAACGCCGUACACGAGGUCAACUCCCCUUUGGUAUUCUUUAGAAUUUAUUGCUCCCCCAACACCAUUAAGUUAACUACCUGGCGAGUUCGGUCGUAGGUUUAAAAUUCACCUGAAUUGAUUGGGUCGCCCCCACCAGCGGUGGAGUUUUUGGUUUUUUUCUAAGCAUCGUUAAGAUACCUUUCUUGGUCUUGAUUAGCAUAUACUCUAUUCCCUUGUGGCCCUGGCCCCCUCCGGAACCCUAUCACACGUGCUUCAUUUCUUUCCUCAGCCCUUCUCGUUAGAUGUUCGUUUAACUCUUUUUACGAGCGUAAUUCUUUUCUUUUGUUAUCAAAACGAUAUUUUUUUUGAAUACUUUAGGGAGACUGUUGGUGACUUAUUCCAAGAAAGCGCGAAUUAUCUCACGUUAUAGUUCCCCCUACGGCAUCUGCGACACAUUUGCUACUAUCGUCGGCACAGAAGGUUGCCAAGCCGCGAGGUGGCAGCGAAAUUCACGAAGGCUAUCGUGCUCUUGCUCACAAUUUGGUACUUUACUGCGUCCAGUCAGACCCACCACCAAUCGCCGAAUCAAAAUGUCGCGGUGAAUACGUUCCCGGGCCUUGUACACACCGCCCGUCACACCAUGGGAGUGGGUUGCACCAGAAGUAGCUAGUCUAACCUUCGGGAGGACGGUUUCCUUAGUGUUUGUCCCGGCUCGGGGUGUGGUUAUCACCUGCCCGUAGGACUGCUCGUCUCC